rnacentral:tRNA from 1 species
GGGGUUGUGGCUCAGUGGUAGAGUGCCUGGUGUGCACCAGGCCCUGGGUUCAACCCCCAGCACCA